rnacentral:rRNA from 1 species
CUACGGGAGGCAGCAGUGAGGAAUUUUGGACAAUGGGGGAAACCCUGAUCCAGCGACGCCGCGUGUGGGAUGAAUGGGUUAUGCCCUGUAAACCACUGUCAGCAGAGAAGAAAAGGUUCCUUUGGAACCCGGGACUGUAUCUGCAGAGGAAGGACCGGCUAACUACGUGCCAGCAGCCGCGGUAAUACGUAGGGUCCAAGCGUUAUCCGGAAUUACUGGGUAUAAAGGGUGCGUAGGCGGUCUUGUGCGUCGAAGGUUAAAGGCCAUGGCUCAACCAUGGAGAUGCCCUCGAUACGGCAAGACUUGAGUAUGAGAGAGGAAGAUGGAAUUCCUGGUGUAGCAGUGAAAUGCGUAGAUAUCAGGAGGAACACCGGUGGCGAAGGCGGUCUUCUGGCUCAUUACUGACGCUGAGGCACGAAAGUGUGGGGAGCGAACAGGAUUAGAUACCCUGGUAGUCC